rnacentral:lncRNA from 1 species
GUAAUGAACCUGGGAACGUGGUGGCAUGGCUAGUGGUGGCGACAACAAUGGCAGCAAAGGGCGGUGGGUGGUGGUGGCACGAAAAUAAGGGCGGUGAAGGCGUGAUGAGAAAUGAGUGAAUGAGUGGUGGUGGAGGCGCAAUAAGGGAGGCGCGAGCAGUGAUGGAGAACUCAAGCAGUGGUGACGGGGCGCAACAGAGGAGGGGCGACCACGGUGACAGAUGCGCGAUGAAAGUGGCGGUGGAGACGCGACGAGGGAGGCGCGAGUAGUGGUGGAGACUGAGCAGUGUUGGUGGAGAGCAAAGUGCAGACGGAGAAUAAAAAUUUUCGCGCAGAAACUGUUCGCAUUGUAAUUAUCUUAUAAAGAGCUACUACCUCGACUCUUUGUGCCACAGAUGCCUAAUGAUUUCAGAAUUCAAA